CACAUAGUUAGCCGGUGCUUCUUCUGUAGGUACUGUCACUUUCGCUUCUUCCCUACUGAAAGAGGUUUACAAUCCGAAGACCUUCAUCCCUCACGCGGCGUCGCUGGGUCAGGCUUUCGCCCAUUGCCCAAUAUUCCCUA
rnacentral:rRNA from 1 species